rnacentral:misc_RNA from 1 species
UGUGGAUGUUGGAAGCAAGGUCUGU